rnacentral:rRNA from 1 species
GACGAACGCUGGCGGCGUGCUUAACAUAUGCAAGUCGAACGGGCCUUGUCCCCUUUUUUUUUGGGGGUGGGGUUAGUGGCGAACGGGUGAGUAACACGUGAGUAACCUGCCCCUCACUUCUGGAUAACCGCUUGAAAGGGUGGCUAAUACGGGGUGUUCUGGCCUGCUCGCAUGGGUGGGUUUGGAAAGAUUCGACCGGUUUUGGUUGUUUUGGUGGGGGAUGGGCUCGCGGCCUAUCAGCUUGUUGGUGGGGUGAUGGCCUGCCAAGGCUUUGACGGGUGGCCGGCCUGAGAGGGUGGGCGGUCACACUGGGACUGAGACACGGCCCAGACUCCUACGGGAGGCAGCAGUGGGGAAUAUUGCACAAUGGGCGCAAGCCUGAUGCAGCGACGCCGCGUGAGGGAUGGAGGCCUUCGGGUUGUGAACCUCUUUCGCCAGUGAAGAAGGUCCUGCUCUUUGUGGUGGGGUUGACGGUAGCUGGGUUAAUGAAGCGCCGGCUAACUACGUG